rnacentral:lncRNA from 1 species
CCUCCCUCUCUAUCUAUUGUAUUUCUAUUGACAUUAUCUUGUUCUCUCUCCCCCUUUCUCUCUCUCCUUUUGGCCUUUACAACUCUCUCUUCCUCUAUCUCAUCGGCACAAACUCAAGCCUCCCUCUCUCCCUUUAGUCUAACCAUUGAAAUUGUCUCUCUCUCUCUCACUAGAAUCAAUUUCCUCCCUCUCUCUCUAUCCCACUAGCAGAAGUAUCAUCAAUCCCAUAGCUCUUUGCCUCUUUGUUACCGAAAUCCCAUCCCCCACAUCCCUCUUUCUCACUGAAAGAUAGCUUAGGGAAGUGUCAAAUUCAUCUUAACAUGGACAAAGAUAAAAGCAAGAAGAGGAUUAUACU